UUACCAUCCAGCAGCAAGCCAUCCUGAUCCUGCGUUGAAUCUUCAUCGUCGCUCUGGAAAAACAUAAUCAGGAAUUUCACUGGUAGCUAAGAUCUAUUAUUUUGGACAAUGAGUAGGCCUCAAGUGAGAUGGAAUGAAGACAACUUGUAUGAAAUUGAAGCCAAUAAACCAGUGAGGCAGAAAAUAACUGAACCUAAAACACCUUAUCAUCCUAUGGUUGAGGAUGAUGGUAAGUCCGCAAAUGUUGAUUUAUUCAAACAACUUGCACUUUGAUCUAAUAUCUAUUUAACAAGUUAAAGAGGGAAUAAAUAACUUUCAGAUGCUUAAAACUCAUUCAUUGGUAAUGCAGGUUGUUUAUCGCCAAGAAGAGCUUCGCAGGUCCAAAUCAUCCUCAUCUUCUAC